GCUGGGGAGUACGGCCGCAAGGUUAAAACUCAAAUGAAUUGACGGGGGCCCGCACAAGCGGUGGAGCAUGUGGUUUAUUUCGAUGCAACGCGAAGAACCUUACCUGGUCUUGACAUCCAUAGAACACUUAGAGAUAGAGUGGUGCCUUCGGGAGCUAUGAGACAGGUGCUGCAUGGCUGUCGUCAGCUCGUGUUGUGAAAUGUUGGGUUAAGUCCCGCAACGAGCGCAACCCUUAUCCUUUGUUGCCAGCACGUAGAGGUGGGAACUCAAAGGAGACUGCCGUUGAUAAAGCGGAGGAAGGUGGGGACGACGUCAAGUCAUCAUGGCCCUUACGACCAGGGCUACACACGUGCUACAAUGGCGUAUACAAAGGGAGGCGACCUCGCGAGAGCAAGCGGACCUCAUAAAGUACGUCUAAGUCCGGAUUGGAGUCUGCAACUCGACUCCAUGAAGUCGGAAUCGCUAGUAAUCGUGAAUCAGAAUGUCACGGUGAAUACGUUCCCGGGCCUUGUACACACCGCCCGUCACACCAUGGGAGUGGGUUGCACCAGAAGUAGAUAGCUUAACCGCAAGGGGGGCGUUUACCACGGUGUGGUCCAUGACUGGGGUGAAGUCGUAACAAGGUAACCAAGGGCGAAUUCUG
rnacentral:rRNA from 1 species